rnacentral:misc_RNA from 1 species
GAUAAGAACGCAGCGAAAUGCGAUAAGUAGUGUGAAUUGCAGAAUUCAGUGAAUCAUCGAAUCUUUGAACGCACAUUGCGCCCGCUAGUAUUCUAGCGGGCAUGCCUGUUCGAGCGUCAUUUCAACCAUCAAGCCCCAGGCUUGUGUUGGAGCCCUGCGGCCGUCCGCAGCCUCCUAAAAUCAGUGGCGGGCUCGCUAUCACACCGAGUGCAGUAGUUUACUCUUCGCUCAGGACGUGUAGCGGGUUCCGGCCGUGAAACCCCCCAAUUUUCAAGGUUGACCUCGGAUCAGGUAGGAAUACCCGCUGAACUUAAGCAUAUCAAUAAGCGGAGGA